UGGAAAGAUGAAUCAAAGAAGGUAAUAAUCCUGUAGUCGAAAAUGUUGUCUCUCUUGAGUGGAUCCUGAGUACGACGGAGCACGUGAAAUUCCGUCGGAAUCUGGGAGGACCAUCUCCUAAGGCUAAAUACUCUCUAGUGACCGAUAGUGAACCAGUACCGUGAGGGAAAGGUGAAAAGCACCCCGGAAGGGGAGUGAAAUAGAACCUGAAACCGUGUGCUUACAAGUAGUCAGAGCCCGUUAAUGGGUGAUGGCGUGCCUUUUGUAGAAUGAACCGGCGAGUUACGAUUUGAUGCAAGGUUAAGCAGUAAAUGUGGAGCCGUAGCGAAAGCGAGUCUGAAUAGGGCGUUUAGUAUUUGGUCGUAGACCCGAAACCAGGUGAUCUACCCUUGGUCAGGUUGAAGUUCAGGUAACACUGAAUGGAGGACCGAACCGACUUACGUUGAAAAGUGAGCGGAUGAACUGAGGGUAGCGGAGAAAUUCCAAUCGAACCUGGAGAUAGCUGGUUCUCUCCGAAAUAGCUUUAGGGCUAGCCUCAAGUGAUGAUUAUUGGAGGUAGAGCACUGUUUGGACGAGGGGCCCCUCUCGGGUUACCGAAUUCAGACAAACUCCGAAUGCCAAUUAAUUUAACUUGGGAGUCAGAACAUGGGUGAUAAGGUCCGUGUUCGAAAGGGAAACAGCCCAGACCACCAGCUAAGGUCCCAAAAUAUAUGUUAAGUGGAAAAGGAUGUGGCGUUGCCCAGACAACUAGGAUGUUGGCUUAGAAGCAGCCAUCAUUUAAAGAGUGCGUAAUAGCUCACUAGUCGAGUGACACUGCGCCGAAAAUGUACCGGGGCUAAACAUAUUACCGAAGCUGUGGAUUGUCCUUUGGACAAUGGUAGGAGAGCGUUCUAAGGGCGUUGAAGCAUGAUCGUAAGGACAUGUGGAGCGCUUAGAAGUGAGAAUGCCGGUGUGAGUAGCGAAAGACGGGUGAGAAUCCCGUCCACCGAUUGACUAAGGUUUCCAGAGGAAGGCUCGUCCGCUCUGGGUUAGUCGGGUCCUAAGCUGAGGCCGACAGGCGUAGGCGAUGGAUAACAGGUUGAUAUUCCUGUACCACCUAUAAUCGUUUUAAUCGAUGGGGGGACGCAGUAGGAUAGGCGAAGCGUGCGAUUGGAUUGCACGUCUAAGCAGUAAGGCUGAGUAUUAGGCAAAUCCGGUACUCAUUAAGGCUGAGCUGUGAUGGGGAGAAGACAUUGUGUCUUCGAGUCGUUGAUUUCACACUGCCGAGAAAAGCCUCUAGAUAGAAAAUAGGUGCCCGUACCGCAAACCGACACAGGUAGUCAAGAUGAGAAUUCUAAGGUGAGCGAGCGAACUCUCGUUAAGGAACUCGGCAAAAUGACCCCGUAACUUCGGGAGAAGGGGUGCUCUUUAGGGUUAACGCCCAGAAGAGCCGCAGUGAAUAGGCCCAAGCGACUGUUUAUCAAAAACACAGGUCUCUGCUAAACCGUAAGGUGAUGUAUAGGGGCUGACGCCUGCCCGGUGCUGGAAGGUUAAGAGGAGUGGUUAGCUUCUGCGAAGCUACGAAUCGAAGCCCCAGUAAACGGCGGCCGUAACUAUAACGGUCCUAAGGUAGCGAAAUUCCUUGUCGGGUAAGUUCCGACCCGCACGAAAGGCGUAACGAUUUGGGCACUGUCUCAACGAGAGACUCGGUGAAAUCAUAGUACCUGUGAAGAUGCAGGUUACCCGCGACAGGACGGAAAGACCCCGUGGAGCUUUACUGUAGCCUGAUAUUGAAAUUCGGCACAGCUUGUACAGGAUAGGUAGGAGCCUUUGAAACGUGAGCGCUAGCUUACGUGGAGGCGCUGGUGGGAUACUACCCUAGCUGUGUUGGCUUUCUAACCCGCACCACUUAUCGUGGUGGGAGACAGUGUCAGGCGGGCAGUUUGACUGGGGCGGUCGCCUCCUAAAAGGUAACGGAGGCGCUCAAAGGUUCCCUCAGAAUGGUUGGAAAUCAUUCAUAGAGUGUAAAGGCAUAAGGGAGCUUGACUGCGAGACCUACAAGUCGAGCAGGGUCGAAAGACGGACUUAGUGAUCCGGUGGUUCCGCAUGGAAGGGCCAUCGCUCAACGGAUAAAAGCUACCCCGGGGAUAACAGGCUUAUCUCCCCCAAGAGUUCACAUCGACGGGGAGGUUUGGCACCUCGAUGUCGGCUCAUCGCAUCCUGGGGCUGUAGUCGGUCCCAAGGGUUGGGCUGUUCGCCCAUUAAAGCGGUACGCGAGCUGGGUUCAGAACGUCGUGAGACAGUUCGGUCCCUAUCCGUCGUGGGCGUAGGAAAUUUGAGAGGAGCUGUCCUUAGUACGAGAGGACCGGGAUGGACAUACCUCUGGUGUACCAGUUGUCGUGCCAACGGCAUAGCUGGGUAGCUAUGUGUGGACGGGAUAAGUGCUGAAAG
rnacentral:rRNA from 1 species